GAGUGCUGGGGGGGGGAGUGGGGAUGAGCCCAGCAGCUUGGGAGAGCAGGGAGAUGCGAAGGGUACCGAGAACACCCUAAGAACUGAUGUGUGGGAUCACGGAAUCGCGAAGGCAGGAAAAGAGCUCUCGGAUCAUCUCGUCCGAUCGCCGGCUCUGCACCCCCGUCUCACAGCGCGUCCCUCAGCGCCGCGCCAACGCGGUUCUCAGCCGCUUCCAGAGACGGCGAUUGCACCGCCUGCCCGGGCGGCUGUGCCACUGCGUCACCGCUGGGAGAAGAGAUUUUUCCCAGUAUCCAACCUAAAAAUAAGUUGGAACGUUAGUUCUUCGUGGCAAGCGCUGGGAUUGAACGGCCGCGGAGAUGGUGGAGGGCCUGGAGCACCUCUCCUGUGAGGAGCAGCUGAAAGAACAGUGCGUUCUCAGCCCGGGUUACUCAGGCUCAGGGAUCACUGAAGAGAGGCCAUGCAGAGGACGGAGACAGGCUCUGCCCAGCACCAGGACCAGCGGCCGUGGGCACAAGGCAGAGCACAGAGCUCCCUCUGAGUGCCAGAUUUUAUUGCCCACGCCCACUUGUGAGCACGCCAUCUCUCGGACAGAGGCUGCCAGGUAGCCUUAUACUGACGGCAUUUUCCAGUCCCGGGGAAAACCUCCACCCUCACAAGCUCAGAUCCUGAUCAGUCUCAAGGUAGAGCCUGCCAAGGGGUUGCCUCCCUUUGUUUCCAGCAUCAAGACUUUGUGAGGUAUAGUGAGCCCACACGGCGUUACACGAUGCGUGGCUGCCUAUAUAAGGGUGGGGAGGCCAUGAAUACCUCCCUGCGCAACAGUCAUAAACACGGAAAGGGUGUGAACAGGGAAGGGCAGAGACUGCAGCCAUGAGAUCAUGCUUUUACUUUGGAACCCCGGUGACCUUUAGAUGAUGUUGCUUUACACAUGCAACCACCGAUAUUUUGCAUUCCUAAACCGCCCACCAACACAGCUCAGAAAUUUCACUUUGUUUCAGAGUAAAUUGCCGGAACUUCAAACAUACAGGUGGUUUGCUUUUUUUCUCGUGGAUUUUUUAGUCAGUAUUCAUCUGAUAACUUUGCUUUCGUUAUUACAAUUGUCAUAAGCAGUACUGACUUGUCUCCUUAUUACCUUGUGACCAGUUAAGUAUUAUUUCCCAAUUUAGAGAUGAAGAAGCCUCAUAGUCAGUAGUUAGCAGCACAGGGAGCAUAAUCUGCAUAUUCUGACUCAGAGUCCUGUGCUUUAAACAGCAGAUCAUACUUCCCUCUUCAACAAAUUCAUGAUAGCAUCUAAAGGAACUGCUUAAAAACAGCUUUCCCCUGAAAUGUUUAAGGUAAUGCAGCAUAAACAAGUUGGCUGUCUGUAAGCACAACCAAGGUCACUGAUACAUUUAAUUUUGGUGUAGACAGAUGAUUAGAUGUCCCCAGUUUUCCUCUCUUUCCUAAACAGCUAUUAUGUAUAUAUAGAACAUGGCAGUUUUGCAAAAGAGUUUCUAAAAGGCAGAUUUGAUUUCAGUAUGCUAUUGGUGUUUCUGCAUGCUUCAUAUGUUUUGUCUAGUAUUUUUGGACGUAAAAGUUUUCACUGAAAACUGAUAUUCUAUUAUAAAUUUGCUUUCUGUUAAAAAAAUCUGUAUACAUAUCUUUCACUAAGGCAAGAUUUUAUUCUUAGACUUUCAUUGUGACCCUUUAUCCAUAGUGUAGGUGUUGCCUUGUAGCAAAAGCCCUAACUGGCAGGCAAGGUGCUCUAUGAGAGUGAAAAAUCAGCACAAAGAAGUGAUAAGGCACCUCAUUGUUCAGUUCAUUAAAUCUGAUGGUCAUCCAGCAUAACACUUCAUUUAAUCAUUCAUAUUCAAUGCCAUUUUGACACUCCUGACACAAACUUCUGGGGACAGGAAGUAAUUCCAAAUCUUUUAUCACCACUACCUUUUGACAUGAGUUUCAGGAGUCAUGGCCUCAGUUUCCAAAACUGGGGAAUGCAAAAAACAAAUUGUAAGUCAGAAACAGCUCUGACUGAACUAAAUAACACGUCUAGUCCUACUACCUGUUUAAAAGAAAAUAGAAAAUUCUCCUAGCUAUUCUGAUAUUAAAGUCAUGAAACAUUUGCAAGACAUGGUGACGUACUGGUAAGAGAUCGCUGUUUUAUUUUGUUAAUAUUGCUUGGGAAACUGGUUCUUCCUCACUCCCCAUCUGGAAGACCAGAGGGACACCAAGGAGGCCAGAACAGAGCUAUUUAGGAUCACACGGGAAAGGGAAGCAAGGUCCAGGUGAGGAGUAAUCCCCUUUAAAUACAAUUUUCUUUGUGUCUGGGCUCAAGUUUAAACACCCAUGGCUCUGUGAAGGACCAGAGCAAGUGCUGGUCAGUGACAUCUGCUCUGGCUGCUCCAAGCAGCCAGGCCAUUAAAAAGGUGGUAAAAUUCUCUUCUGUGCAAAAGUGUUUUCAAGAGUUUUAACACAUUGUUUUUAAUGUUCAUGCAAUUCAUAUCUCUGUGGUUUUAGAAGAUUUACAAAGCAGAACAGCUUGUAGAAGACAGCAGCAACACUCAGUAAUAAAUAAUUGAGAAGCGAUUAAAACAUCUCUUCCAAAAGCUGAAGGUCAGGAUUAGGGCAAGGUGCAUCAAUACAAGCAUUUAAAAUUCUCCUUACAACAUAUUGAAUAAAACUGCUUUCAAUUUCCUUAGACUCCCAUAGACUUCUAUAUUGCAUACUAAGGUGCAGUCACAUUCUGGCCCUGGAAAUGUACUUUCUGCUUAAAAUGAUGCAGUGCUUCUAUAGGAAAUUUUGCUGAUGGAAUGCUAUUGCUUGCGGGGCAGCUAUGCAUAAGAAGAGAUUAACAUAAUGAGGAAUAUUGUCACUGUUUGAUCCCAGGCACACACAGCCCUUUACUGAAUCCAAUGCUGCAUAUAUAAUCUUCUGAACAACCCAUGUGUGAAUAUUUUACUCUGAUUUUGGCAUGAAAACUUUGCAGCCAACACAUUUCGGUGCAAACUUUAUGAUGUGUGUUUUGAAAAAUGUUCAGAGCUUUUCUCUGAAAGUUUGUUGAAAGAAAGAAAAAGACUUGUUCUGCCUUUGUUCAGUGUUGAACUGCUGCUUAAUACAUCGUUAGUUCUGCUUUGCAUAUAUGAAUUAUGUAUUUUAAAAUAAUUCUUACCCCUAGGAAUGGAAAACAAAAUACCUGUCAUACUGCACAGAAAGUAGAUGAAAAAUCAAACAUCUGCUUUUUGAACAAAAUUUCGUCUUACACAGCACUUAUUCUUGCUAUGAACCUUCCCUUGAACUGUCAUAGGGUUUCAGAAGCUCCCAGCAGGAGAUGGAUAGCACUCUAAUGUUAUCACAUCUUUAAUUAGAUUAGAAGUUAGAAGAAUAAAGUAUUAAUAACCUUGAAACAUAAGUUUUUCUAAUAUAUUCUUCCCCUAACUAUAUGGUAGUUUUACUGUUUGCAAUUUAAAGUAAGAAACAACCAAAACUUAAGUAUGCAUUUCUUUAUUCAUGACAGGAAAGAGUUUCUAAUUUUGCAAAUUGCUCUCACAAGCUUGGCUAAUUAAGCUGAUCCUUCAAAUCUGAAAGCCAAAGUGUUUUCACAUCAAAGAGUGCAAACAUGUCAGUGAUGGGAAGUAACAAAACAGAAGAAAGAUAGUUGGGUAACAUUGAAUCUCUUAAUCGUUGUUAUACAGGGUAUACAUAAAGCAGCAACUUUGUUUUAUUCACUGUAAGACAUUGCUUGCUUUAUUUAAAGCAUUGAAUUUCACAUUUUAUAAAGAACUUGCUCUGAAUAUGCCAUCAAUUCCAUUAAAAAAUGUUUGCAUCAAAGGACAGAGUAGCCGUCAAAGAAGUAGAAAUUCGUAUUUUCCUUUGUUGGUAUUUUAUGCUCUGUAAUUAAAUUGUAUAUUGUUUUUGCCUGUAUAUUUAAUGCAAGAAAAUGUUCUUUUCCUGUUUAUUACAUUACAACUACAAAGUUUGACUAGAAAGCUCCAUGUGUAGUUGGAAGACUGGGAGUUUUACUGGACAUGAAGGUAUGAAAGAAAUUAAAUUUCCUUAAUUGAGGAAGAUUCUUUACAAGUCAUCUUUGACUUAGCAUUUAUUUUAGUAGUAUUUUCUAUUUGGGGUAUUUGUUAUCCUGAAACAUGAUAUAUUCAAAUAGAAAUCAUUUCACAGAGCUUGAAAUAGGUCUGAAAUGGAUGUGGUCGUUAGACAGCAUAAUGUGUGUUAGUAUAGAGAGGUCACAUCUUGCUACAUGGAAAAAGCAGGAUGGUGAAUGAGAUCCCAACAGAAAUACCUUCACUUGGCCAAGUUCACCCAAAAACCCUGCUGAAAUUCAGCUCUGUGGUUCUUUAUGGCAACAGGAAGGUUCACACUGCCAUGCAAUCCUUUCCACAGACAAGGAAGUAUGACAUUUUUGGCAGUAGAGAAGAGCCUGUAGAAAGUCAUAGCCCAAAUACCUGCAGCUCUAUCACUGCACAAAGCAGCCUUGUGUAAUGAGCCUACAUGAUAUGUCCAAAAGUGGACGUACUGGAGCAUGCUCCUAUGGAUCCAUCCUCUGGAUCCCCACCCGGGCACAUUGCCCUUGGCACAGCAUGGUUGAAGUCUGUUAAGCAGAGAGAAGCUCAGAGAGGGAAGUGUCUGCCAUGAUGGGCCAGACAGAGCAGGCCCACGCUGCUGGAGCAGUAUUCAAAUGUGCCAGCAGGGACUGACGCCUAAUUUCACGUCUCAGGGGAUGGCAAAGAUGCAAGGAGGAGUGAAAGAAUCUGCUUUUAGAGCUGUAAAAAUCCAGAUUCCUCCUUUUAAUGUGGGGUUUGAAGGAACUGCUCCCAGGAAGGCACCGUGGAAAGAACAACUGCAGGCCUUAUUUGAUGAAAACAACUCCAAAACAGCUUGAGACCUUGCAAACUGGAAGGGCCAAAUCAAAUACAGAAGCCCCUGAGAGCAUGGUUGUUCCAUGGUCCAUGCAGAAAGGGGGUUGUGCCUUUUCCCAGUUCAAGACAUCUUAGCACCCACACUGACAGCGUUACAAGGAGCCACCACUAAUAACAACACAGGAAAUGCACUUCUGAAAGCAGCAAAGAUUCUUGUAUCUCACUUUUAAACUUGCCCGUAAUGUCAGGCUUUUAUCUUACACAUUCCAAAUGUUAUGAAUCAGAACAAAGUUUCUCUGUUAUGUAGUGUUACAAAAGCCAGUUUUUUUGCAAAGUUUUGUCCGACCACAAAAAUCCAGGGCUAAAGAAAUGGCAACAGGAUUUACCAACAGUGCUGCCAGAGGAUUCCUUCUAAAAAUGCUUGCUUUGCAAUUUUCAAAGGAGAAAUGAUGCACGAACUGAGACUUGCGCAGACUUCAAAAUGCAAGAUGCAAAAUAUGUGGUUUCAUCUAUUUCAUCAUUCUCCUACUGGCCGUGUGUGGACAUUUGUGGUACAAGCAGGCAAUGGGAUGCAGCAUCAGCAGUGCACUCCAAUUGCACAGGAGGAGGAAAAGGAGGAUGGUUUGAUCAAGGGCAUUGUUACAGAUCAGCUCUCUGCUUUAUGACCACUGACAUGUGAAAUAAAAUGCAGUGACCAGAAGAUGUCUGAAGCAAAGUCAGAUUUUAUUGUGUAAUGGACUUCCAUCAGUGUGGGAUUAAAACAAGACUCAUAAAACCAACUGCUAUUUAGUGGUUAUGGAAAGAAAGUAAAUCUGCAAUUAAAUUAUAACGGGGUAUUUAUUGAGUAAAGGCAGUUCAACUUAAUUAAUUAAAGCUGGAAAAUAUUUAAACUAUCAGGAACAGAUUUCUAUUGAAACCAUAUGAUGAGCUUUGGCUUGAUUACUCUCAGACAACUCACUGCUGCAUAACUCUUCAGGCAAAACACCUGCUGAGAGCCGUAUGCUGGUAAAGAGAGAUUGCAGACACAUUUUGAAGUCGAUGAAGACAGUCCGGAUUCAAGCAAAGAUUACAUAACCACCAUGUAGUUCUGUGCAAUGCUGUCUGUGCUGUGUUUCAGUGGGGAGUGCUUCUUCAUGGAAAAAUAUAGUUUGGAUUCAAUAUUUGUUUAUGUGGGCUACCAGAAGCAAUUAUGGCUCAGAAAAACCUUUUCAUGAUAAUGGUAUUCUUGGAUCUUCCUGCACUGAGCAUAUCUUGACAAGGAAGUUAGGGAGUCUUUCUGCAACUCUAUUUUGUGGUACAGCUGCAGCAUACUGUCAUAUCAUGCACUGCCAAAAGCCCCAACUCUCCACUGCCCACUGUUCCUGCAUAGCCAAGGCACUGGGAGAGCAACCCCAUGAAGCCAGCAGUGCAUCCUCCUGGCAGUGCCCAGCAGCACACAUGGUCGGAGGGCCUGGGCUGCUCUGUUCUCAAGAGCAUCGCUGCUAGGACAACGUACAGCCAACAGGACUGUGCUGCAGCCUGCACCAUCUGUGCAUGCCUUCAUCUGUGAUGUACUUCUUCAGAAAUUCUGCCACAUAGGUGGGAUGUUUAGCUUUUGUUGGCUGUGCUCACCACACCAUCUGCAAGACACAAGGGAGCACCUCAGUACCACAUGCCAGCGCUGGAAGAUCCAAGAUCUUGAUGAUCCACUGGAUCCAGAAUCUGUCUUCUGCCUACAGUGACAAGUAAAAGGCCAUGUUGGUGGCAGGCAAGCACAACCACCACAUCUACACCUACACUUUAGCUUUGGCUUUUACCCACAGUUGUCUGUUAGCUGUUGCAUUUUAAAGAAUCUGCAGGAUACUCUAAAACUGUACAGAGGAAAGCACAAUUUAGGUUUUGAGUGGCUUCUGAAGAACAACAGGGAACAGUAUUAUGGCAACAUUAUUCUCUGGAGUUGACUGCAACAGCCUCUGUUAGGCUACAGCUUAUGAUAGUAAGGACAGCAAAAGUGUUUUGUCUUGAAUAAUAUUGGCUUUGGGAUCUGGCCAGGAAUAUGGUCACAAAACCAUACAAACACUGCAGUGCCUGAGAUGGUGCCUUGGAGAUAGCUUUUGGUUUGCACACUCACAUCUUUAAGUGCAUAUGAAGUUGAACAAAUGCACACUCAAAAGUGCUUUCAGUGCCCCAUUUCUGGUUUCUUUUUCUGACAUGCCGUUAGUGUAUCCCUAUGUAUGGACAUCUCUAUAAUAGUCUAGAAGCUCCCUGCAUUGUGAACAUGGAUAGAAUAACCUCAAACAUGGUGUGGGCAUAGUCAGAGUGUCUGUUUCAUUCUCUGGGCUCAAGUUAACAUUUCUCAAAGCAGCAUCAAGAUAUCAAUGACACUGCAUUGAAAAGGGAAAAUGUUUCCCUUCUCGUCUGUCCCAGGGAAACGCAGAGAGCACAGUUCUUGUGAACCUGCCAGGAGCUCAGGGAAAAGAAAGGAGUGCUACAAAAUGCCAGGAAUGUCAUAGCUUCCCCAAAAGUCUUUUCCAUUAGCAAGAUCUGACUUACUGAAGCGUUUGCUUUUAUAAAAUAGAUAAUCUGGAAACUGUUUCCUUUCAUCUGAUUUGAGACAAGUCAGACUGGGGGAAUAAUAAGUUCUUAUCCUCUGUUUGAAGAAUGUCUUGAUUUUUCUUUCCCAAAAAUACAUAUAACUGGAUGCUAGUUCUGAGAAUGUCAUCAUGCCCUAGGAUUGCUUGAGUAAAUAAGAGGAAUUAUAGCUAUUGCCAAGAUGUUCUUCAUUCCUAUUUUUGGGCAUACUUCUGAAAUUCAUACGUAAGCAGCACUCACUGCAAUCAAGGGAAGUUGUACUUAGGUAAGAACUGAUGCUAAACCUCAUCACAGCAGGAUUUUCUGGAUUUCUGACACUCAGCCCAAGUUUACAGCUCAAGUCUCGAAGCUACUCCUCACCUUUACAUUGGUCCACAGCAAAACCGCAGAAAGGAACAAAAAUGAACUGUGGGUGGAAAAUCAAAUUCUGCGUUGGAAUGUUAGAUGUUGUCAUUCAGGUCCAUCUCAAAUUUAAAUCAGUAGUUCAGAUAGACUGGUUCUACAGCUCCUACCCCUCCUUGGCCACGUAGCUCUGUAACAGAAGUGGGGUAGAAGUUCUCCUACGUGCAGUAGCAGGAACCUCAGAGAUGCUGCAGAGCACAAGGCUGUGUGUGGCACUGUGCUGCCCAGCUGCCCCAUGCCGUAAAUAUUACAGCACUACGACCUAAAAAUGGAGAACAGUUUCAUCACACAAAACAAGCUGUUGGCCACUCGAUUGACAUUAUUUUAGCUUAGGCUUUGCAAUCUUUCUUCUCAAAGGAUUAGGUUGUAGACUGGUAUGUAAACCAGUUUAUAAUCAGCCAAUGUGUUGAAAAGAAGCAUGUAUCUGAGUUAGACGAACUUCAGUUCUGUUCAUAGGUGGUGGCUGGCUAAUCACUGCCAUUUAUAUCCAUCUUUGAUUCUCUGAGAGUGCCUGGCGUGACAUCAGUGAGAAGGAAUAGACUGGGAGGUUCAGGCAUUCGCUGCAAAGGUGGACGUGUGGUGUGCUGAUACAGACAGUGCUGCCUAUCUGAUGGCAUGCCGACAGCUGAUACGCCCUUGCACACAUACUUGUGCUGUGGGCACGUGUUCUGGAAAAUCCAGAGCAUACAGGAUACAUCUGCAGGCAGAAAUGCCCAAAUGCAGAAAUUUUUAUUUCAAUGAGAGUUCAAUUCUAAAUAGGGAGGCUAUUGUGUUCAAAUACUGGCAGUGAAUGUAACAAUGUUUCUGCUGUGAGUCAUGCAAUAUUAUUUUAAAAAUAUAUGUAUAAUUUUUCAUUGACACAGACACUACGGUUACUCAGUUAAAGCAGAUUCAAAAGAGUCCACUUCUGUUAUCGUGGAUCUGUGCGACUGUACUUGGGUACAAAAAAUCUGCAUGGAUUCAACGAAUGCCAAGUAACAGUUAGAAGCUGUUUUAACAGUUCUUUGAAAGUGAUUGUUUUUAAGAUAACUUGCACAUAUAUGUGUACAUAUGGCAAUUUCUCAUUUACAUUCUGACAUUCAAGGCCAGGCUGGAUGGGGCUUUGAGCAACC